AACGAACGCUGGCGGCAGGCUUAACACAUGCAAGUCGAACGGUUGUAGCAAUACAGCAGUGGCAGACGGGUGAGUAACACGUGGGAACCUUCCUAGGGGUACGGAACAACUCAGGGAAACUUGAGCUAAUACCGUAUACGUCCGUGAGGAGAAAGAUUUAUCGCCCUUAGACGGGCCCGCGUAGGAUUAGGUAGUUGGUGGGGUAAUGGCCUACCAAGCCUACGAUCCUUAGCUGAUCUGAGAGGAUGAUCAGCCACACUGGGACUGAGACACGGCCCAGACUCCUACGGGAGGCAGCAGUGGGGAAUCUUGGACAAUGGGCGCAAGCCUGAUCCAGCCAUGCCGCGUGAGUGAAGAAGGCCUUCGGUUG
rnacentral:rRNA from 1 species